GUACUGAUGAAGAGUCCCAAACUAGGACGAAACAGCGGUCCAGUAC
rfam:Trichobilharzia regenti genome assembly, scaffold: TRE_scaffold0009083